GAAAAGAACUCUGAUGACAUUUUAGAAUGUCAGAAAACAGCAGAGAAAUGCAAUUGCAUUACUGAAGUUUCAGAGGGAUGCACUGUGGCAUCAAGGGAAAUGUAACCAGAAAGAAAACAUUAAAGAAAAUGUUUAAGAAAACCAGUAAAAAAUUGAGGGGCUCUCACAGAGCAGCAUGAUUGGGCUGAUCUGGAAACAACACUGCUGUUUCUCCUUGCCUCAGACAUCUUGCUGCAAUGCAGACAUUUAUAUUUUGUGAACUAUGAAGAAAUUAGCAUCUGAACAAUUUAAAAAGGUGAACUUCAGGGGACUUGUGAUGCUGUGUUUCAUUAUAUGCACAAGGGUAGCCCAUGCAAAUAUGUUUCCCCCUGCCAACAAUACCUCUGGAGGUGCAGAUUUGAGACACAUCCUUCUUCAACAAAACCUAGGGGAGCCAUUUUAAU